GUGUUCGGCUCGUUUCAACAUGAGCCGGUUCGUUAAAAUAUUAAAAAUUUAGCUCGUGUUCAGCUUAUUUUUUGACGAGUUGAACACGAGCUGCCUCACGAAUAACAAGUUAGAAAGAUUAAAAAGAAUACAUAUAGAAAAUAAAUUUAUGAGAUUUUAUCUAUUAGUUUUUAAUUUAAUAGUAAAAACUUUACAUAUAAAUGAAUUUUUUUAUAAUUGAGUUGGGCUUUAUAUUUAGGUUGAGUUAAAAAAUUAAAUAAUAAAAAUCUAUAUUAUAUAUACAAUUAUUUAUUUAUAAAUAUAAAUAUAAAAUAUAUAAAAUAUAUGUAUUUGGAAAUAUAUAAAAUAUAUGUAUUUGGCCGAACACGAGCAAGAUCCUAGCUACUGCUCGGCUUGUUUAUUAAACGAGUUGAAAAAUUCAGCUCGUAUUCGGCUCGUUUAUUAAAUGAACAAUUCGUUUCGAAUACAAGCUCAUUUCGAGCCGAACACGAACUGCCUCGCAAACAACG
rnacentral:lncRNA from 1 species